CUCUGGGAGAGGAGCCCAGCGUCAGUGAAACUCGGACAGGAGCGGGGCUGCGACCUCCUGACCGCGCCCUGCAGCCGGUGGACGUGCCGCCGGCGCCGCCCCACUCUGGUCCCAAGUCAGGACAUCAGGACCACGAAAGCCUGUGGUUUUCCUGCCACCGGCCUGAUGUGCGCUUGUCCUGUGCGUCCUUGGCUCCAGCACAAAGGAAUUUCGGAGGGAGUCGCAGAGAGAGGUUUCAAGUGCAACUUAUUAGAGAGAAAAGGAAAAGAAGGAUAAGUCCAGGUGAGAAGGCGGGUGCCCUCAAGGGAAUGGACGCCCCUUUCGGUUAUCAGAGUCUUCGUAUUUCCCAAAUGGCGGCUGCAACCUUUGUCUAAGGCUGUCUGGGCAUGGCUCAUGGCCGACCUAGGAUCCCAUGUCCCCCUGCAGGAGAGACUUCUGGAAACUACAAUGCAGAAGGUGAGUCGCCCAGAGAGACCUACAGGCCUACCAGGAUCAUCCUCAUCCCAACUCCUCAUCUUCCAUCUUCACAGCUGCUAUUCUCCUGCAAAU